CGUUCCCGGGCCUUGUACACACCGCCCGUCACACCAUGGGAGUCGAUUGCUCCAGAAGUCAUCUCACCAAGAGGUGCCCAAGGAGUGGUCGGUAACUGGGGUA
rnacentral:rRNA from 1 species